UAUGAAGGGGGCUAGCGUUGCUCGGAAUCACUGGGCGUAAAGCGCACGUAGGCGGCUUUCUAAGUCAGGGGUGAAAUCCUGGAGCUCAACUCCAGAACUGCCUUUGAUACUGGAGAGCUUGAGUCCGGGAGAGGUGAGUGGAACUCCGAGUGUAGAGGUGAAAUUCGUAGAUAUUCGGAAGAACACCAGUGGCGAAGGCGGCUCACUGGCCCGGUACUGACGCUGAGGUGCGAAAGCGUGGGGAGCAAACAGG
rnacentral:rRNA from 1 species